rnacentral:rRNA from 1 species
UUUCCCUCAGGAUAGCUGGCACUCGCUUUUAGCGAGUCUCAUCUGGUAAAGCGAAUGAUUAGAGGCCUUGGGGCCGAAACGACCUCAACCUAUUCUCAAACUUUAAAUGGGUGAGAUCUCUGGCUUGCUUGAACGUUGAAGCCAAGAGAUAAGGAUACCCCCUCAGGGGGUUUCCAUCGGAUCAGAGUGCCAAGUGGGCCAAUUUUGGUAAGCAGAACUGGCGCUGUGGGA